AAUCAACGCUGGCGGCGUGCCUAACACAUGCAAGUCGAACGAGAAAGUGGAGCAAUCCAUGAGUAAAGUGGCGCACGGGUGAGUAACACGUGACUAACCUACCCAGGAGUGGGGGAUAACUGAGGGAAACCUUAGCUAAUACCGCAUAACACCUACGGGUCAAAGGAGCAAUUCGCUUCUGGAGGGGGUCGCGGCCGAUUAGUUAGUUGGCAGGGUAAUGGCCUACCAAGACGAUGAUCGGUAUCCGGCCUGAGAGGGCGCACGGACACACUGGAACUGAAACACGGUCCAGACUCCUACGGGAGGCAGCAGUGGGAAUUUUGCGCAAUGGGGGAAACCCUGACGCAGCAACGCCGCGUGGAGGAUGAAGUCCUU
rnacentral:rRNA from 1 species